rnacentral:rRNA from 1 species
UACAGAGGGUGCAAGCGUUAAUCGGAAUUACUGGGCGUAAAGCGCACGCAGGCGGUUGGUUAAGUCAGAUGUGAAAUCCCCGGGCUCAACCUGGGAACUGCAUUUGUGACUGCAAGGCUAGAGUACGGCAGAGGGGGAUGGAAUUCCGCGUGUAGCAGUGAAAUGCGUAGAUAUGCGGAGGAACACCGAUGGCGAAGGCAGCCCCCUGGGUCAAGAUUGACGCUCAUGCACGAAAGCGUGGGGAGCAAACAGG